UACGUAGGGGGCUAGCGUUGUCCGGAAUCAUUGGGCGUAAAGAGCGUGUAGGCGGCCCGGUAAGUCCGCUGUAAAAGUCAAAGGCUCAACCUUUGAAUGUCAGUGGAUACUGCCGGGCUAGAGUCCGGAAGAGGCGAGUGGAACUCCUGGUGUAGCGGUGGAAUGCGCAGAUAUCAGGAAGAACACCAACGGCGAAGGCAGCUCGCUAGGACGGUACUGACGCUGAGGCGCGAAAGCUAGGGGAGCAAACGGG
rnacentral:rRNA from 1 species